CGGUGGUGAGAUGGUUUCUGCUCCCAGGCCUCCUUAGCCAGGUCAAGCAUCCCCCGAGGCCUCCGGCCAUACAGCAGCUCAAACGGUGAGAACCCGGUCGAGCUCUGCGGGACCUCUCGGACUGCAAAGAGGACAUAAGCCUGGAACCUGAUAAAUCCUGGAAUUGACAGCAGCCACAAGUGUUACUCUGAACCUUUAUUGACAGGACAGUUCAGUGUGAAGGGGGGAGAGAGUGGCGAAGACAUGCAGCAAGGUGUCGGAGUUGAACCCACAGCCGCUGCAGGAAGACUCAAGCCUCCAGACGUGGGGCGCCGGUGCUACCACUGAGCUAGUCAAUGCCCUCAUUUUCUUACUCUGGCAAAAGAGAGAAGAGAAAUCUAAUCCAAAUAAUCCAAUCGUAGCCUUGUGAGAGUUAUAUCCAUGUUUUCUGUCAUUAGAACUCAGUAGAACAUGCGCUAUGCUUUGCGUGUCUGUGACAGUGCGAUGUUGUUUUUACUGAUGUCACCAGCAAAUGGUCAAAAUUGCAUACUGCAUCUUGUUCAACAAGGUGGAGUCAGUCACUCAGUCCAUUACAUAAGCAGAUCUAGAGCUAGCGCAAUUAAAGUGUCAGGGUUAAAAACAGUCCAGAAUUUAGGGGCACAAAAAAAUAAUGGGGCUAAUUCAGGGAAGGUUUACCUGUUUAUUUUGCCACUCAAUGAAAGCAUGCAAUAAUGCGCUUAAAAAGAUUCUUUAUGCAUGACAACUUUCAAGUUUGAGGGAGCAGUUUUUCAUAUCUGUUCAACAUGAAUGAGACUGAAAAUGCUUGGUUACAAAACAAUAAGACCCCAUCCAGUACAUAUUUUUCAAACAAAUGCUUGAACAGAUAUGAUCAGAACAUUGGGCAACAUGGUGGCUCAGGGGUUAGCACUGUCGCCUCACAGAAAGAAGGUCCUGAGUUUAAAUCCUGGCCGUCUCAGGAUCUUUCCGUGGAGUAUGUAUAUUUUCCCCUUGUGUGCGUGGGUUUCCUCUGGGUGCUCUGGUUUGUCCUACCAUCAACAUUUAUAUCAGGUCAAUGUUCCUCCUAGAACUGGAGUUGGUGCCUGGGCCCUGCACAGUGGCUGUCCACUGCUCCUAUUUAGGAUGGGUUAAAUGCUGAGAAUGAAUUCCCCCACAGGGACCAACAAAGUAUAAAUUACCUUGAACUGUAUUUCAAGGUUCUUUCAAGGUUCUUUGGUUGAUCAGAAACAUUGCAGACUUUGAAUGGAGUAGAAAAAAGGGGACAAGUGAAGGAGUGAGUAUGACCAGACGAAGCAAAGAGAAGCUUCCUUAACGCAUCAUCACAGGCGACACACACACACAAAGAUGUAUGCAUCUUUCUCUUUCACAGAUAUACACACAAGUUACUCUCUUUCAUACAUAGAGAGUUCACAUGUGUUCCACAAACCACAAGAGUUGUUUAUUAAUUUGGUUUGUUAACUAGUAUGUAAACUAAUGUUUGGAUGUUCAUAUCAGGGCUGUACAAUAUAUUAAUAUUUCAGUGAUUUUGAUAUAAGACUGCUUAUAGUCUGGGAUUUUGGAUAAAGUAAUAUAGUGAUAUGGCAUAAGUUCCUCACUUUAAAGGUUGCUUUACAGUAAAAGACAGUACACAGUUGUAGCCAUUUUAUUUGUUCAUACCAUCUUGGUCAUCCUAUCCAAAUUACUAAGGAUUGUCGAAAUAUUUUGAUAAAGAACCAAUAGUGAUCCUUCAAAUUUCACAAUAUCGUUAUCUAGGUAUUCAGUCAAAAAAUGUAAUAUUUGAUUUUGUCCAUAUCACCUCAGAUAUGUUCCAUUGCAAUUUCAUUCUGCUUUAUUAUUCUAAAUAUAUUUUUAUUAUUUAUUUAUACACACAUACAUACAUGAAGGAACAGGUUCAUUCUGCUUAUAUUUGGCCAAAAACAAAAGGUGUUCCUACUGUAAAAACAUUUGAGUUUGUCAGUUUUUGAGUUUAAUUUAAAUUUUAAAACCAUUGCAAAUGUGCCAUUGUUGAUUAAUUCUGCUUUUUUAUUUGAAAAUAAAUAGUUUUUUCUUUUAUGUAUAUAUAUUUUCAUAGUCAUGUUUUAUAUGUAUGUAUGUGUGAUUCCUUUUUAUAUUUUUGUAUGUAUAACUUUUGUUCCGAAAGGAAAAGUUUGUCAAUAAUGUCAACUAUGUUGUGUUAAUAUAAUGCUGAAUUAUAUUGAAGCCGUUGCAAAUGAGUAUGUUGUGGGGAAGUUUAUAUUUAUAGAGAAAUAAAUGAUUAUGUACGUAA